GACAAUGCUUCUUUAUCUAAGUCUCUGCCAAAGAUUUGUCCUGGAGGCCUCGGCCUUUUACUUCCUGAUUUAAGGAACUUGUUUUUCACUGAAGACCAGAUUUCUAACCAGUCCGACUUUGAACGCUUUAAGUAGCCAAAGACGGUCUUGAACUUGUGACCCUCAAGCCUCUGCCUCUGGAGUGCUAGGAUCACAGGUCUGUGCUAGCACACCUGGCUUACAAUAUCUGAGGAUUUGAACCCAGGAUCUCGUGUAGGCUAGGUGACCAGUCUUUUGAAGGGAAGAGGUGACCAGAACGGCUGAUGAAGAGCACCAAGAGAAAGUUAGUAUUCAAUUCUGGGCAUCAAAGACAAGGUUUCAGAGUAAGACGCCAACCUGAACCCUAGAUUUGAAACAGGAGGUAAGCUGAAAAAUGAAAAGAGAGCUGGAAAUGGACACAAAAAACUACAGAAACCAGAUUCAUUCCUUGACUUUAAGAGCGGACAAUUCAAAACUCAAGCCUACGACUGCAUUUAUAACCACACCAGGAAGAGCACAGUGCUCAGACCGGACCUAAUAAACAGUGCUGACCCGAAGACCUGAGUCUCAAUGGCACUUAGUACUGGCCGGGCGCUGGCGGGGUGCAAGACUUGGCUUUGCUAAGCAGAGUAGCAAGCCCCACCGAUGUGGUCUACAGAUAGAGUGCACUCAGGACGACCUUAACAACCUUCCUUUCCUUCAGCCAUGGGAAAGCUAAUCCUAAAAUCCAUACGGACCUGCAGUGCACGCCACACGGAAGAGUUCUGUAGAAGAACAGUCUUAGAGAACUCAGUCUUCCUGAUUUCACAGUUUUGAGCUAAGCCGUGGUAGAUCAAGACGGUGCUAAAAGCAAAGGCCGGUGAACAGAAAGAAGCCCGGUUCUGAGGUCACUCCCUUGGAGGAAAGGGGUGUUGGACCAUUCCGGAGGGAAAGACUCAUCUUCAAUAAAUGUGUUGAGGCAACUCUCUACGAGAAGGAAGCUGAGCCCUACUAGGGUCUGAGCUUGGCUUGCUGUCACUGCAGCUCACGCUGGAGUUUAAUCCCCGCUGUUAGGUGUUAUGAGGGUGGAAACUUAAUCUCACUACAUUGUAACAAAAUGGAGCAUUUGGGGAUAUGAUCAGGAUUAGAUAAGACAUUUAGGGUGAGCCCCCCACCCCAUGACUGAAUCCUGGUGGCUUUGUAAGAAAGACCAGAGGACAGACCUAGACAUGUGGAUUUCCUGUCAUGUGUUGCCCUGAGCUGUGUCAGGACUCUGCCAGCAAGAAGGCUGUGGGGAGACUUGGACUCUUCAUCACGGGCCAGAACUGUGAACCAAAAUAAACCCCUUUAUACUUCACCUGGUCUGUGAUAUUGUGUCAUUAGCAACAAAAAACAGGCUAAGACAGGCACCAGUCUCACACCAGAUGCAAAAGUCAGUUCAAAUAGUGGCCCAGGGGUUGUCUUAGUCAUUAGAGAAAUGCAAACCAAACCCACAGUGAGAUGCCACUAUCUAGCCACUCAGAAGGCUGAAUUCAGGGGAAGAAUGAAAAAGGAAAGAAGAAAGACUGCCGCUUAGAAAAACAGAUUGUCAGUUCCCUAGAAGCCAAACAGAAUUUUCAGGACACCCUGCAAAAUGCCCUCCAAUAGAAAUCAAAGUAUGUGUUUCAGCUGGGCUGUGGUGGAGCACACCUUUAAUCCCAGCACUCUGGGAGGUGAGGCAGGUGGAUCUUUGAGCUCUUGACCAGCCUGCUCUACAGAGUGAGUUCCAGAACAGCCAGAGCUACACAGAGAAACCUUGUCUUGAAAACCAACCAACCAACCAACCAACCAACCAACCAACCAACCAACCAACCAACCAACCAACCAAGUGUUUAGACAAAAACUUGUACAGGAAUAUUGAUAGCAACAAUAUUUACAAGAGUGGAAGGAAUAUAGAUUUCUAUCAACCAUUGACUUGAUAAACAAAACCUGCAUAUUACUCAGAGAUAAAAAUAAAAGAAGUUACUGACCUAUGCAGCAGUACUGAUGGAUGGGAGCCUCUAGUAGGUGAGAGAAUCUAGCCGUACCUGCCGUGCAUUUAGUCUGUUUCUGUGACUGUCCUGAUAGGCAAGUCUACAGAGACAAAGCACAGGGAAGCAGGCACCAGCAGCCACGGGUAAAGGAUUUGGGAGUGAAUGCUUAACAUGUGUCUUAGUUAGGGUUACUUUUGCUGUGAAGAGACACCCUGACCACCUCACCUCUUAUAAAGGAAAAGCGUGUUGUUAGGGUGGCUUCCAGUUUCAGCGGUUUAGUCUAUUGUCACCAUGGCAAAAUAUGGUGGUGUUCAGGCAGAUGUGAGUUCUGUAUUUUGAUCUGAAGGCAACAGCAAGUGAACUGUGUAUCACACUGAACAUAGCUUGAGCAAAAAAGACCUCAAAGCCCACUCCCACAGUCACACACUCCCUCCUAUAAGGCCACAAAUAUGCUAACAAAGCCACAUCUCCUAAUAGUACCACUCCUUUAAGGAUCAUUUUUCCCCCCCAAACCACCACAAUGGAUGUGGGUUUUUUUGAGAAAAAAAGAUGGUGAUGUUCUGGAAGUGUAUGAUGAUGAUUGUUAUACACAAAAAUAAAUAAAAAUGACUGAAAGCUGUGCUUUCAACAAAACAAAGCAGUAAUAUUUAUGUUAAUUUUACUUCAAUAAAAAUAAAGGUUAAAGAAUGCUGUUUAUCAGUUAUGUAGAUUGGAAGGGGUUGGAGGACAGUGAUUGGUGUAACAGGAAAGAGAGCCCCAAGGAUGGGCAAAGGCACUUCACUUUGUCACAAAAACACAGGCCCUGGGGAGACCUAGGAGGCAGAACAGAGGACAACCAACCCAUUGUGAGGCUUCCUCUCAAGGGAACAGGGACAUACAUGACCAGCCAAGGAUGGCCCGUGACAGGUUAAUCUUCGCUGUCAAUUUGACCACAUUUAUAGCCGAGUGGACGUCCACGACUAGGUACGUCAAUAGUGGCAUUUCCAGAAAGGAUUAACUGAAGAGGGAAGACCUGCCCUAAGUGUGGACAAUGUUACUAUCA